GACGAACGCUGGCGGCGCCGCCUAACACAUGCAAGUCCGAAACGGAGCUUCGAGAGCCCGCUUCUAAGCUUAGUGGCGAAACGGGUGAGUAAACGCGUGAGUAACCUGCCUCUAGAGUGAGGGAACAACAGUUGGAAACGACCGCUAAUACCGCAUAAGCCCCACGGUACCGCACGGUACUCGAGGGAAAAGGAUUUAUUCGCUUUAGGACGGACUCGCGUCCAAUUCAGCUAGUUGGUGAGGUAACGGCCCACCAAGGCGACGAUUGGUAGCCGGACUGAGAGGUUGAACGGCCACAUUGGGACUGAGACACGGCCCAGACUCCUACGGGAGGCAGCAGUGGGGGAUAUUGCACAAUGGGGGAAACCCUGAUGCAGCGACGCCGCGUGGAGGAAGAAGGUUUUCGGAUUGUAAACUCCCGUCGUUAGGGACGAUAAUGACGGUACCUAACAAGAAAGCACCGGCUAACUACGUGCCAGCAGCCGCGGUAAAACGUAGGGUGCAAGCGUUGUCCGGAAUUACUGGGUGUAAAGGGAGCGCAGGCGGGAAGACAAGUUGGAAGUGAAAACCAUGGGCUCAACCCAUGAAUUGCUUUCAAAACUGUUUUUCUUGAGUAGUGCAGAGGUAGAUGGAAUUCCCGGUGUAGCGGUGGAAUGCGUAGAUAUCGGGAGGAACACCAGUGGCGAAGGCGGUCUACUGGGCACCAACUGACGCUGAGGCUCGAAAGCAUGGGUAGCAAACAGGAUUAGAUACCCUGGUAGUCCAUGCCGUAAACGAUGAUUACUAGGUGUUGGGGGAUUGACCCCCUCAGUGCCGCAGUUAACACAAUAAGUAAUCCACCUGGGGAGUACGACCGCAAGGUUGAAACUCAAAGGAAUUGACGGGGGCCCGCACAAGCAGUGGAGUAUGUGGUUUAAUUCGAAGCAACGCGAAGAACCUUACCAGGUCUUGACAUCCGAUGCAUAGCACAGAGAUGUGUGAAAUCCUUCGGGACAUCGAGACAGGUGGUGCAUGGUUGUCGUCAGCUCGUGUCGUGAGAUGUUGGGUUAAGUCCCGCAACGAGCGCAACCCUUAUUGCCAGUUACUACGUUAAGAGGACUCUGGCGAGACUGCCGUUGACAAAACGGAGGAAGGUGGGGAUGACGUCAAAUCAUCAUGCCCUUUAUGACCUGGGCUACACACGUACUACAAUGGCGUUAAACAAAGAGAAGCAAGACCGCGAGGUGGAGCAAAACUCAAAAACAACGUCUCAGUUCAGAUUGCAGGCUGCAACUCGCCUGCAUGAAGUCGGAAUUGCUAGUAAUCGCGGAUCAGCAUGCCGCGGUGAAUACGUUCCCGGGCCU
rnacentral:rRNA from 1 species